GCCAGACUCCUACGGGAGGCAGCAGUGAGGAAUAUUGGUCAAUGGCCGGAAGGCUGAACCAGCCAAGCCGCGUGAAGGACGAAGGUGCCAAGCAUUGUAAACUUCUUUUGUCAAGGGACAAAAUCAGGCUCGAGAGCCUGACCGAGGGUACUUGAAGAAAAAGCAUCGGCUAACUCCGUGCCAGCAGCCGCGGUAAUACGGAGGAUGCGAGCGUUAUCCGGAUUUAUUGGGUUUAAAGGGUGCGUAGGCGGGCUGUGAAAGCGGGGGUAAAAGCCCGGGGCCCACCCCCGGGGAGCCGUUGAAACUGGCUGUCUUGAGAUGUCGAGAGGUAUGCGGAAUGCGCAGUGUAGCGGUGAAAUGCUUAGAUAUUGCGCAGAACUCCGAUUGCGAAGGCAGCAUACCGGCGCCCGACUGACGCCGAGGCACGAAAGCGUGGGUAUCGAACAGGAUUAGAUACCCGUGUACA
rnacentral:rRNA from 1 species